GGUUUAUGAUUAAAAUUUCUUUUUUUUUUGUCAACUGUGUUUCAUUACUUUAAGCCCAUUGGGCAAUUACAUUUGGUACCAGUUUAUACAAAGAGAAGAGUCCAUUAAGCACUAAAAUAUUAAAUCAGCCCAAAAAAGAAACAUCCAGAAACUGCACAAGAUGGCGAUUGAUUCUUUCGACUCCACGUCUCUGGACACGCGUCCUUCAUGCGUUGAGCGGCAAUCUCGGCCGUACCGCUGAACCUAACCGCCGCAAGCUUCCGUAGACGCCUCUCUUGCCCUAUCUCUCCGCCGUAAAUUUCCGCCAGAUCAACUCAGAGAUGAUCCGAACAUGAAGAUCUGAUACCAAAUAUAAAGCUUCCCACUUUCAACCGUGAAUAUUCAAGCAGAGAACCCUUGAUUCACCUGAGUUAAGACAGAGGAAGUUGUGUAAAGGAUGACUAACCAUGUAAGAAUUUAAUUGGGAGUUGUGUCAUCUGUCAGUCUGACGCAUUGUGACAAAAUGACGGAUUAUACUAUACUUGGCGCGGAGUAUUGGUUUUAUUACUGGCAAGAACAUAAUUUUUUGAAUAAUAUAAUUAUGUUGUCA
rnacentral:lncRNA from 1 species